GAAGCAGUACGAGGAGGUUAAAAGUAUCUAAGGCUGACGAACAAUUAUUUUAAUAAACCCCUAACAACUACAAACACACAGAUUUUCUUUCUUUUUUUCAAAUUACAACACAGCUUACCUGACCUGUGAAGUCCAAAUAGUAGAAUUUUUUAAAAAUUUUCUUUGGACAUAUUGCAAAACUAGAUUUACUUAAAAUCUCCAAAAGACUUCAACUUUGGCUUUUUCGCAAAAUUUUCAAAAAUUUAUGUCCAGUUAUUUUCUUUCUUUAUGUUUUCAACAACAUUUUUUUUUCUUUCUUUUUUGUUCGUUUUGUCCAGUAAUUUGUUUUCUUUCCCACUAACCCACCAGCUGCAAAAUCUGCGGACAGAAAUCAUAUUGGUAUCGAUUGUUCUAGCAGCACAGUGCGCGUGUGUAUGUGACAUCAUCGUUAUUAUUUUAACUUUAUGUAGCCUUGUAGUUGUUUGUUCCUUUUCUUCUUCCAGACUUUUCCCCACCUUCUUUAGAAAAGAAAACAAUCAACGAAGAGGCAACAACGAUAACAACGAUAGAAAAUAAAUCAGUCAAACAGAUAUUCGUUGUAUAAUAGACACUCCGGAACCCCUCACUUUUUUUUUCUUUUUUGUGUGUGUGUGUGUGUGUGUGUGUGU